rnacentral:rRNA from 1 species
CAGUAGCCGCGGGAAUACGUAGGUGGCAAGCGUUGUCCGGAAUUAUUGGGCGUAAAGGGCUCGCAGGCGGUUUCUUAAGUCUGAUGUGAAAGCCCCCGGCUCAACCGGGGAGGGUCAUUGGAAACUGGGAAACUUGAGUGCAGAAGAGGAGAGUGGAAUUCCACGUGUAGCGGUGAAAUGCGAAGAGAUGUGGAGGAACACCAGUGGCGAAGGCGACUCUCUGGUCUGUAACUGACGCUGAGGAGCGAAAGCGUGGGGAGCGAACAGGAUUAGAUACCCCCGUAGUCCCUGUCUCUUAUAC